rnacentral:rRNA from 1 species
AUUGAACGCUGGCGGCAUGCUUUACACAUGCAAGUCGAACGGUAACAGGCCGCAAGGUGCUGACGAGUGGCGAACGGGUGAGUAAUGCAUCGGAACGUGCCCAGUCGUGGGGGAUAACGCAGCGAAAGCUGUGCUAAUACCGCAUACGAUCUAUGGAUGAAAGCGGGGGACCGUAAGGCCUCGCGCGAUCGGAGCGGCCGAUGUCAGAUUAGGUAGGUGGUGGGGUAAAGGCCUACCAAGCCGACGAUCUGUAGCUGGUCUGAGAGGACGACCAGCCAAACUGGGACGGAGACACGGCCCAGACUCCUACGGGAGGCAGCAGUGGGGAAGUUUGGACAAUGGGCGCAAGCCUGAUCCAGCAAUGCCGCGUGCAGGAAGAAGGCCUUCGGGUUGUAAACUGCUUUUGUACGGAACGAAACGGUCUGGGUUAAUACCCUGGGCUAAUGACGGUACCGUAAGAAUAAGCACCGGCUAACUACGUGCCAGCCGCCGCCGUAACAC